rnacentral:ncRNA from 1 species
UAGAGCGCAGUACAACGGAGAGUUGUAUGCUGCGUUCGGGAAGGAUGAAUCGCUCCCGAAAAGGAAUCAAUUGAUUCUCUCCCGACCGUAGGUGCGAUGAUUUACUUCAC